CUGGGAUUACAGGCGUGAGCCACCGCUCCUGGCCCAUCUUGAUCUCUUUUAAACAAGAUCAGGCACGUUCAGGGUGGCAUGGCUGUAGACUUGAUCUCCUUCAGGUACCCAUAAUUUUCUUCUUAAUAUUUUAAAUAUGUUUGGGCGUUAAUUUCCAUUUCUUGUUGUUUUCCCCAGUUUUAUCUUCAAUAUCCUACGCAAUAUCUAUCCUACUUUGUGCUUCUGUCAUUUUAACUUUUAUUUCUGUGAUGAUUUUUCUUUCAAUUCUGUUCUGAUAUUUGCUAGUUCAUGCUUUAUUUUCUUCAGUCUUUUGACUAACUUUUCACUAUGUUUUCACUGCAGUUGCUUCAGAAGGGCAAUUGAUUUAAGAAUUUUAAAUUGACUGUAGUGUUUGGUCACUCUUUUCAUCUACUACUUGUCAGUGACUGUUCAUCGUCUACCAUUUAUUUUCUUUUCCCUUUUCUCUCUCCCUACUCCCAUCAGAUCUAUUUGGAAUAGUUCUUGUGAUGCCUCCUGUUGAUUACUCAGUUGAUUGAAGUGAAUUUUUCUUGGACCAGCAAUUUUCAGAAGUUUCAUGUUGGGGAGGAACUAGGGCUAUGUUCUGGGCUAGCUGGAAUUUCCCUCAUGACCCAGGAUUCUUGUGUCAGGUUAAUUAGCCUUUACUUCUUCCCAGCCCUUAGAGAUAGCUCCCAUAAACUUUUCACCGAGUUCUAUCUCUGCUAUUCUCUCAUUGCUAAAGGGACAAGGUGCUUCUUUUAAAUAUGCUGUCUAUGUGAUUUCUCAUGCAGUCCAACACUCUCUGCUUCCUAGUUCUGGGGAAGCUCUUGAUGCUAGUUUGUGCACUCAUCCUACUGCUGCAAAUGAAUGAUUUUUAUUUUGCCCUUGUCUCUCACUGCCAAGAAAUAUACUUUGCUGGCUCAUGCAUGAUCCAGGGUCACAGUCUUUUUCCCCCCUUCACUUUCUGCCACGUAUAUCUCCACUUGAUCUCUGCUUUUGGCGGCCUUUCCACUUAUUUGAUGGCGUGGGGGUUUUCUCUUGCCUAGUUUUAACAUAGAUAAGUUUGUAUUUCUUAUUUCUCAUUAUCUUUGUGGCUUUCAGAACACUCCCAAGAAAAUAAGGAAGAUAUUCUGAUUUAAACCACAUCGUUAAACUAGAAGUUCAAUUAAUGAAUUGUAAAGACAGGUGGGCUUUUAUGACAUUGUAUUGCAAUGUGUUGAUGCUAGUUUUGAUAACAAAGACAUUUUUAAGAGCACCAUAAUGACCAGUAUUUUGAUUUUACUUAGAAAAAAGAGGGCAUCAAAACAAUUUUUUUGAAUGAGUUUUCCAAAAAGCUUCAGAUAAUAUCAAAGUUGUAUAUGGCAUAUCCCCAAAGAAGUUUUUCUGAUGUCCUUAAUCAUGAUUCAAAUGCUCAUUCAUCUUGUGAUUUUUAAAAUGUAUUAUAUAAAAGGAAGAUAAUAUAAAUAAUAUGUGGAAGAACUUCCAUAAUAUUGAAGUAAAUUGAAGCCAAUUAAUAAGCAUGGGUCCUUGUUUGCCUUGUUUUAUCAACCUAUGUAGAUUUCAAAAGUUUUGUCAAUUGAAAAAUCCCAAGUUCUAUAAAUUUGGAAAGGAGACUUUAUUUAUUAUAAAAAGGGUUACAGCUUCUAGGGUGGCCAUCAUCCUGACAGAUUUGGAAGUGUAGCCUCUGGCAGGGACUUGAAGGGGGCACUUUGAGGGAGGGGAGUGUGGGGCUGGGAUUUAUGCUAAACAGGUUGGCCCAGUACACAUAUUCAACAGGUUAUAGGAGGAGCUACAGAUAUUCCUGAAGUGGGGCCUGAUACAUAAACAAACAUGCAUGUUUCAUGCAUCCCAUGUUCACUUUGGUGUGGAGCCGUAAUAUUUAAACGCGUUACAGUUAGGCCUUAUAUGUCAAAAGGUGAAGCAGGGAGAUGAAGACACUCAAGUGUGCAGUCUCUUUAAAUGGGCUGGGACCAGUCCAUGGUCUCUGGUCUUUUAUCAGGAGAGUUACUGAAAUCAGUCUUGUCCAAUCAAAGUUAUAGUUAUGGCUUGUGGAACAGGGGACCAGUGAGUCAGCAUCUGGUGGUAGAGGAGCUGCAAUUAUUUCAAUAUUGCUUCUCUUAAGGCCUUUGCUUAUUUAGCUUCUGUAGAAGAAGAAAAACCUGUGGCAGUUAGAACACAGUUUAUUCUUUAAGUGUAGGGGUAUGUGGCUUAAUCCUUGACUGGGUGGCCUUAGGUCCUGUUUGUAAUUUGGUAUCUUACUGCUACAGAGUCCAUUUUAUCAGUCUUAUGAACUCUAUUUUAACACUAAUGCUGAUCAGUUGUGUCUAAACCACACAAAGAGGAGAUAUACCAAUGUGUGUCCAACCUCCUGUCCUGUCGUGGCCAGGAACUCCAUUUUUAAGGUUUCUCUGGGUCCUCUUGGCCAAGAGGGGCGUCCAUUCAGUUGGUUGGGGGCUUAGGAUUUUAUUUUUAGUUCUCAGUUUUGUACUGUGAAUGCUAGUUGAUUAAGUGAGAAGUUUGUGGCAAUUUUUAAAGAAAGGAUAGAUAUUAGAUUGCAUUAAAUAUUACCUCCUUGAUUAAACUAUUGUUAUUAGGGAGAAAGUAAGAUUGGGCCUGAGUAAUUUUGAAUGUAAGAAUGUAACUCUGUAUAAACAUUAGCAGUUUCUCUAAUUGAUGCUGCUUUAUUAAAAUAUCACUUUUUGUACUGGUGAAAGAGAAAAACAUUAAAGGAAUUUUUAUCUUAAAAUGUUCUCAUUCUUAUAAUUUUGGGGUGCAGGUUUUUGGGAGUUUCUCUGUUUCUCACUCUUCAAAGGAUAAAAGUCCUUUAGCUGAAAAUAAAACAUAUUGCAUUAUAUUUUAUUAAAAUAAUUAUUGUGGCGAAAAUAAAGGGUAUUACAUAACACUUUAUUAAAAUAAUUCUCUGCAAUUGAGAUUUAUAUUUUUUUCACUUCAGAAUACUUCUGCUUACUGUAAGCAUAAGUCCAAAACAAAUACACAAAGAAAGCAGCAGCCACCAUCUCCAAAUCUUAAUGUUGUGGUUUGAAAAUAUGUAUAUAAAUUCUUUGAUACACCUAUUUUCAAAGGGUGGAGCCUAAUGCCCUCCUCUUGAUGGAGGCUAGACUUAGUGACUUACUUCUAACAGAAUAUGGUGAAUGUGAUAGUGUGUGGAUUUUGAGAAUACCUAAAAAAAUCAUUGUGUUUUUUCUCUUGAUCCCUCUUUUGGAUCACUCACUCUGAGGGGAGGCCAGCUGCCAUGCUGUGAAAACACUCAAGCAGUCUCACAGAGUGUUCAAAUGGCAAGGUACUGAGGUGCCCUGGCAACGGCAAGGAACUGAGGCCUUCAUCCAAAGCCAUUAAGUGAGCCAUACUGGAAGCAGGUGCUCCGGUCCCUGGUGGUCUUGAGAUGACAGCAGCUUCAGUGUCUUGACUGCAACCUCAAGAAAGACCUUGAGCCAAAGCCAUCCAGAACAACAGAUGACACGAGAUGUCCCUGCUGGGGAGAAAAACUUGAUGAUCCCAUUGGCAAACCAGCUCCUGAGAUUUGUAUCAAGGCCUCUGCAUCUCACAGCUACCUUGUGUCUCCUCUAUUGAAAAGCUGCUGGGACUUUCAGAGACAUUCUACUAAUGGCAAGUUCUGAGAAGGAAAACAAAAAGAUGCCUUAGUUCCAUGGAAGGCUGCUCUGAGGGAUAUUCUGCUAAGUGGCAUCCAGACAGAACACGGAGAAGCUCCUCGAUUGCGUCUCUCCCCUGCCUUAUUGUUUCCUGCUGCCCUUGACACUCCACUGUUUGGGCUAUUGCAAGGUUAGAAGGAUGCUCACGACCAACGAGACAGAGUCCUUUGCAUAUGGCCUUGAGGAUGUGUGCUUCUGAAAUCUAACAAAGCUUCUACCAUGCUUCUCCACCAUCUAGGAAAACAAGAAAUGAAGUUUCCUGGAGAGCUUGGAUUUCCCUAUG
rnacentral:lncRNA from 10 species